CUUCUCUUACUCCCCACGCCAUCCUCCUCUCCUCCCAUCCAUGGAGCAGCAGCCCUCCCUCCAUGGCGCCCACCCUCUCCAAUGGUGGUGCUCGCCCCUCCCUCCCUCCUUCUCCAUUGCUGCAGCUCCCCUUCGUGGUGGCUGUCGCUCCCCCUGCAGCAGCCCCUCCUCUGCUCUCCAUGGACGCCAGCCAUGGCAGCCCCCUAUGCUGCUGCGUGAUGGCUGGAGGUGGAGGUAGAAGAAGACUCCAUGAGGCUAUGAUUGGUGGGUCCAAGGACCUAGAGAUGAUGAUCGUGCAAGAGAUGUGGUGCCAACCACAAGAUGCAGUUGGUGGAUGACCCAAAGAAGGAUGGACUUAACUAGUGGAUGCUCGCCAAGCGAGUGUCAUCUAGCAAACACUAUCUAGUGUUAGAUUACAGGUACCUCCUUGUUUUGGUUGAUGGUGUGACUUGGCCUUCAUCUCUGCCACCGGGAUAGAUGGUCGAGAGGGUUACUGCUUCCGCAGGAGAGGACCAGGAGGAGUAGCGUGGCCAGGCUUCACCAUGUUACUCGGUUUUCUCCGUUAGUUAUUUCUGCUGCAUUAAAAUUAUG
rnacentral:misc_RNA from 1 species